rnacentral:tRNA from 1 species
GUCUCAGUAGUGUAAGUUAACACACGAGCCCCAGAUAGGCCUGAGAUGCGUGUUCGAAUCCCGCCUGAGCCG